UGCAAUCAUUGUUUUUUUUUUUUAAGUUAUAGAAUUCAAAGAGACUGCAUUACAAGAACUAUCUGAACCAUCUCUGAAAUAAUCAAAUGUCGUAUCCGUUUUUUGUGAUCGAAAGGCUUUCAAAGAAAGAUCAGACAAUGAACCAGCCAGUGCUACACAUCACGGACAAUCUUUCCAGAUCAAAGGUUGUGCAAAAGAAGCUCCGCAGAAUGAUGAAUAUGUCAAGAUGCUGAAGAUUGUUCAGCUUGAGAGAAAGGUGAACACUCAGGCUGUGGAUAUUGAACAUAGGGGCAAGAUGAAUUGCAGUUCUGGAAGAGGAACUGAAUCGUUUGCAAGAGGCAAAAGAUAAAUCUACAAGUAAUGAGAACCAAGACGAAGAACUGGUUAAACUGUGCCUCUGGCUUCAAAACCCUAGUGAACAACUUUGAGAGAUUUCUUUUCAUUCAAACGGUUACGUACGUGAAUGUUUGUUAUGCUUUGCAGACAACAAAAGAGUUCAUUCCUGUAUAAUUACAACAAAAUAGUUAUUGUCAACUCAACAGAAUGGCUUUUUCCCACCCACACGGAAGUUUCUUAAUAAUUAUGGAAUUAUCAGGGUUGAAAGCUUCAAAGAAGAUGAUGAGCAGGCCAACAGACAACUUCCUGGAGCAACUAAUGGAAUUUGGCCUGGUCCUGCAUGCAUUUAUUUGUUCUGCAGAACAUCCAGGUUCUGAAUUUUGUAGCAGGGGAAGGAGAACCCCUGUGACCGCUGCUUCUGGUGGACCCAAACUCACCCAGCAGCUCCCAUACCUCUUUAGCUCUACAAAAACGGCAUUGUGAUGUUCAGUAGUCCAUUCCACUCCAAUCAAGACCCAAGCACACGUGUUCAGUUAUUUUCCUGCUUUAUAUCUUACAUCACUUAGUUUGACUACAUAAAUACCAUAUAUUUUCCACAGUCAGCUUCCGUUUACUGAUGAAACAUCAAGAUUUGUCGUUCCUUUUAAGUUUUGCCUUCUUGAAUGCACGCAGGACUUGAUGGAUGGGUUUUUUCCUGAACUUCAGGAAAGGUUUUCUGAUGUGACCUUCCUGGUGUGGACUGUGAAUCCAUGCAGUUUUCAUCAUUAGGAUUACUAUUGCUCAUUUUUAGGAUAAUGGAUUGAACAAAUCCCUAACCCUACACAACUUUAGUUGGUAAUAUUUUUAAAUGUUUUAGAAAAUCUCUUAAGCUCACCAAGGCUGCAUUAUUUUAUCUAAAAAUACAGUAAAGAUUAAUAUUAUUAUUAAUACUUAAGACAUCUGUGCUGCAUAAUAUUUUUGUGGAAACUAUACAUUUUUUUCAGGAUGUUUUAAUGAAUAGAAAGUUGAAAAGAACAGCAUUAAUUUGAACAUUAUAUACUUUCAUAUUGUACUUUUGUGCAUUAGAAAUGUCUUUACAGCCUUUUACGAUCAAUUUAAUUAAACUUUACUGAAUAAAAGUACAGUAUUCAUUUCAUUCAAAAACUCAAAAAAACAAAACUUUUGAACAGUAUAAGUAGUGUUGUCAAACGAUUAAUCGUGAUUAAUCACAUCCAAAAGAAACAUUUUUGUUUACAUAUGUGUGUGUGCUGUGUAUUUAUUAUGUAUAUAUAAAGACACACAUAAAGUAUAUAUUUUUAAAAUGUUUACAUGUAUUUACAUAUUAUAUAUCUAUAUUCAUAUAAUUUAUAUUAUAUAUAAAUUAAUCAUGAUUAAUCACAUCCAAAAUAAGUUUUUGUUUGCCAAAUAUGUUUGUUUGUUCUGUGUAUAUUUAUGGUGAGCGUGAUUUUACCAAGUACAACAUGUUCCUGGAUCAACAUCCUUGUUGAUCCUGGAAAAACAUUCCAAGCAACCAAUCAGAAUUGAAUUAUAACUUUCCAAGAAAAAUCGGUUUUAGGCUUACAAUCAUAGUUAGGUCCUUCUACACCUUUGUUAAUCAGCUAUCAUUUCCCACUGAUUUUAUGAAUAAAUUAUGGGUAGGGUUAAGGUUUGGGGCUAUAUUUUUGACUAAUAAUGUUAAUCCAGCAUCAGCAAAAGACGUUGAUCCAGGAACAUGUCUUACUUGGCAAAAUCAAGCCGACUGUGUAUUUAUUAUGAAUAUAUAAAUACACAUACAUACAGUAUGUAUUUAAAAAAAUACUUACAUGU